rnacentral:rRNA from 1 species
AGAGUUUGAUCAUGGCUCAGGACGAACGCUGGCGGCGUGCUUUAGACAUGCAAGUCGAACGCGAAAGCCCCUUCGGGGGCGAGUAGAGUGGCGAACGGGUGAGUAACACGUGGGUAACCUACCCCUCACUGGGGGAUAACCGGGGGAAACCCCGGCUAAUACCCCAUCCGCUUUCUGGGUCGCAUGGCCCGGCAAGGAAAGGUAGCUUCGGCCAUCCGGUGAGGGAGGGGCUCGCGGCGUAUCAGCUAGUUGGCGGGGUAACGGCCCACCAAGGCAACGACGCGUAGCCGGUCUGAGAGGACGACCGGCCACAUUGGGACUGAGAUACGGCCCAGACUCCUACGGGAGGCAGCAGUGGGGAAUCUUGGACAAUGGGCGCAAGCCUGAUCCAGCGACGCCGCGUGGGUGACGAAGGCCUUCGGGUUGUAAAGCCCUUUUCCCGGGGACGAUGAUGACGGUACCCGGGGAAUAAGCACCGGCUAACUCCGUGCCAGCAGCCGCGGUAAGACGGAGGGUGCUAGCGUUGUUCGGAAUUACUGGGCGUAAAGGGCGCGUAGGCGGCAGGGACAGUCGGAUGUGAAAGCCCGGGGCUCAACCCCGGAACGGCAUCCGAUACUCUUCUGCUCGAGACCGGGAGAGGUGGGUGGAAUACCCAGUGUAGAGGUGAAAUUCGUAGAUAUUGGGUGGAACACCGGUGGCGAAAGCGGCUCACUGGCCCGGUUCUGACGCUGAGGCGCGAAAGCGUGGGGAGCAAACAGGAUUAGAUACCCCCGUAGUCC